GGACGCUUCGGGGGUUUCGGCCCCCGGGGAGUGGCGCACGGGUGAGUAGCGCGUGGGAACCUGUCCCUUUGUGGGGGAUAACCGAGGGAAACUUCGGCUAAUACCGCAUGCGCCCCCGGAGUGAUUCGGGGGGAAAGAUUUAUCGCAGAGGGAGGGGCCCGCGUCGGAUUAGGUUGUUGGUGGGGUAACGGCCUACCAAGCCGAUGAUCCGUAGCUGGUCUGAGAGGAUGAUCAGCCACACUGGGACUGAGACACGGCCCAGACUCCUACGGGAGGCAGCAGUGGGGAAUAUUGGACAAUGGGCGCAAGCCUGAUCCAGCAAUGCCGCGUGAGUGAUGAAGGCCUUCGGGUUGUAAAGCUCUUUGGGCGGGGACGAUGAUGACGGUACCCGCAGAACAAGCCCCGGCUAACUUCGUG
rnacentral:rRNA from 1 species